GGCUGUCCCGAGCUGUCCCGUCCCGGCGGAGGGCGGGUCUCAGCCCCCUCCUCGAGGGUUUCGCAGCCCUCGCGGUUGGGUGCGGCCUGAGGGGCGGCGAGGCGGAGCAGGCCGCACCGAGGCGCAUCCCGGCGACGUCGCAGCCCUUCCCGCCGCGCCUCUUUGCCAGCUCGGCGGGACUCUGGGAAACUCGAUCUCCACCCCCUUUCCUGACAGGAAUUGGUCGGAAAUUGGGGUUUUUAUCCCCUGGCCAGAGGGCAGCUGGCGGCGGUGGGCGGCAGCGGGCCCUGCCCCGCGCUGUGGUGUGAGGCAGCGGCAGCAGGCGCAGCGCCAUCGCUAGACGUGAGGUGGAGUUAGCAGCAGGGUAGGGUCGGUGCUCCUCUGCCGUGUGGGAAGAAUGGCUGAGGUCGCUGUUAGGUGGUGCUGGGGCGUACACAUUCCCUAGGCUGUCUCUCAUGGGGCCUCUUCACAGCAGAAGUGCUGUUGAUGAAAGGAACGGCAGAAAUAGGUUUGAGAUUCACCCUUUAAGCUACUGCUGUGUGGAUGACUGCCUUGCAAAACUGUGAGGGAGCUCGACCGUAGAGGCCAGCAAAUCACAGCAGAACGAAACCUGAGCAAAGCAAAAUCAUGCUCCAUGGGCGAAGAGAGAUCACCUUAUAUGGGAACAUCAUGGGCAAGAAGAUGAAUAUGUCCAGCUGAGCUGCUGAGGUUUAUCUGGCCAAUUGUAUAAUCAUCACUUACAGACUCUAUCAGACAUUGACAGCUCAGUUCAUGCUAGUUGGAAGGGAGUGGCUUACACAAGCAACAGGACCUGGGAUACAGAAGAAUACACUCUACCAA